AGAAAUGAAUGUGCCAAGGGAUGCUAGUGUGGCUUCGGUAGCUAUUCGUAACACAGAAGCUCAGGCCCCCCUCCCACCACUCCCUCCACCACAAUCUGUGGACCCUCCACUGCUGCAACAAAUCAAAGAGGUAACUCCACCAUCAAAGUGAGGAUGUGGAAGGCCAAGAAGAACAACUUCAGAUAAAUCUCCAACUGCUGUGGCACUUCCAGCACCUUCUGGAAAUGGAAAAGUGGAUGUGGCUUUGCAGAAAAGAAUUGAGCCUAUCCCAUCAAAAUCCUUUUCUCCUGAUUCUUCAAUUGGUUCUUCUAAGUUAGGGGGUCCUAGUGGAGUGACAACUCAGUCUAGUAUAGGGAUUACUUCUACUCCUCAACCCACAACCCCUUCAGUUUCUAUUACACCCAACUCACAAUCUAUUACCUUGUCAUUCUCCCACUUGGCUCACAAUGUAUACCUGCUGCAGUCGUUGCACCUGGCUCGCAAUGUAUUCUUGCUGCUGUUGUCACACCUGUCUUGAAAUCUAUUCCUGCUGCUGUUGUCUCUCCUGGCUUGCAAUCUAUUCCUGCUUCUGUUGUUACACCUGGAUCACAAUCUAUUCCUUCUGGCCCUUCUGCGUCUAUCCAAUCAAGAGGACGAGGUCGGAAGGUUCAAAGUGGAGUACAGGCACCAUGACGCAGGGGUAAGAAACAGGAGUCAAUACUGUCUGCUCCUGGGAAUUUAGCUGUUACUGAUCCGAGUACAAAUGAGCAAUCACAUAAUAGAUCUUUUAAUCCAUUGGUUAUGCCACUAGUGGAACCGUUCCUAGUGUUCCUGUUGGUCAUUGUCAUAGUAAUUUACCUGGCUCUGUUGCUGUAGAAGUUAUUAGUGGACCCCACUCAUCAGUCUGUACCAGGGAUUGCUUCUGAUUCUAAGUCAACUCCUCCUGUCUCUUCUAUCACUUCUGCUGCCGAAUGCCUCCCUCCUGGCCCUUCGGCUUCUGUGCAAAUAAAAGGGCAAAGCCGGAAGACACAAACUGAAGCAGGAACACCACGGCGUAGAGGUAGGAAACAAGCUCCAGUAUCACUGUUGUUCCAAAUGCUCUGGUCAGUCAGGUUUCUUUAUCUGAUAUAGUUUCACAGAAUAAAUCUGAGGACUCAGUAUGUAAAGCCAUUGUCCUGACAAGUAACCAAAAGAGUAAUGAUUGUGAACCAAGAGAUGUUAGCCAGGAUCAAGCAUCCAGAAUAGCUGGUCAGGAUCAAAAAUUUACUGCGCAUUUGGAUGAUGUAACCCAAAACGGCAACCAGUCUGCUUGUCAACAUCAAAUGAUGGUAUUGCCAGAUCAAUUUGCACAUUUCCUGGACAAAUUCUGAGUACUGAUAUGCGUGAUGUGGCUACUGUGACAGAGGAGUUACCAGCUGAAAAUAGCUCCGCAAAAGCUAAUUUUGAUGAACAAGGUAAUGAUGGUGGCGUUGCCCAAAAUGUACCUGUAUUAAGUAAAACCUUUAUAGAGGUGGUUCAAAGCUUUAGAGGACAAAAUAUCCCUGGUUGUUGGCCUUCCAACCGAGUCAUCACCACGUUUUGUUUCUGUAGAUGCUGAUGGCAAAUCAAUUCAUCAGGUUGCUGUGAAGAUUGCUUCCAAUUCUGAGCCGACUGCAUCUUAUCCUUCCAUCUCCCCAGCCUUCGAAUCUAUCCCUCCUGAAUCAUUGCAAGUUAAAAGGCAAGGUCGAAAGGCUCCAAAUAGGGCUGAAGCACCUAGGCGUAGGGGAAAGAAGCAGGGUCCAGUUUCACCUUCUGUUGACACUUUGGUUGGUCAGGACCUGAAAGCAAAUCCAUAAUCACAGAAUAAAUCCAGGGAUAGAUCAGGGAGUAAUGUGAUUUCCUUGAAGAGCAAACAAGAGAGUGAUAUUGAGGAACCUGCAAAUGUCAGUCAGGAGGCACAUUUGUCCCGUGAUUUAGUUGGCCAAGAUUCAAAAAGAAAAGAGACUAGUGGAAUUCCUGCUCUUGGUAGAAUUCAGACUGCUGCUAUUACUGUAUUGCUCGUGUGAUGAAGGAGAUUUUCUGUAACAC